GCGGCAGGCUUAACACAUGCAAGUCGAACGGUAACAGAAAAAGCUUGCUUUUUGCUGACGAGUGGCGAACGGGUGCGUAACGCGUAUGCAACCUACCUUCUUCUAAGGAAUAGCCCAGAGAAAUUUGGAUUAAUACCUUAUGACAAUAUUUAUUCGCAUGUUUAAAUAUUUAAAACUCCGGUGGAAGAAGAUGGGCAUGCGUAACAUUAGUUUGUUGGUGAGGUAAUGGCUCACCAAGACUACGAUGUUUAGGGGGUCUGAGAGGAUGAUCCCCCACACUGGUACUGAGACACGGACCAGACUCCUACGGGAGGCAGCAGUGAGGAAUAUUGGUCAAUGGACGAAAGUCUGAACCAGCCAUGCCGCGUGAAGGAUGACGGCCCUACGGGUUGUAAACUUCUUUUGUAUAGGAAGAAACCCCUCUACGUGUAGAGGGUUGACGGUACUAUUCGAAUAAGCACCGGCUAACUCCGUGCCAGCAGCCGCGGUAAUACGGAGGGUGCGAGCGUUAUCCGGAAUUAUUGGGUUUAAAGGGUGCGUAGGCGGAAAUUUAAGUCAGUGGUGAAAGCCUGCAGCUUAACUGUAGAAUUGCCAUUGAUACUGGAUUUCUUGAAUCUAAUAGAAGUAGGCGGAAUAUGACAUGUAGCGGUGAAAUGCUUAGAUAUGUCAUAGAACACCGAUAGCGAAGGCAGCUUACUAUGUUAGUAUUGACGCUAAUGCACGAAAGCGUGGGGAGCGAACAGGAUUAGAUACCCUGGUAGUCCACGCCGUAAACGAUGAUUACUCGCUAUUGGCGAUACACUGUCAGUGGCUAAGCGAAAGUGAUAAGUAAUCCACCUGGGGAGUACGA
rnacentral:rRNA from 1 species